CCUACGGGUGGCUGCAGUGGGGGAUAUUGCACAAUGGGGGGAACCCUGAUGCAGCGACGCCGCGUGGGUGAAGGAGCGUUUCGGCGCGUAAAGCCCUAUCGGCAGGGAAGAAGGAGGACGGUACCUGACUAAGAAGCCCCGGCUAACUACGUGCCAGCAGCCGCGGUAAUACGGAAGGUCCGGGCGUUAUCCGGAUUUAUUGGGUUUAAAGGGAGCGUAGGCCGGUCUUUAAGCGUGCCGUGAAAUUUUGUGGCUCAACCAUGAGAGUGCGGCGCGAACUGGAGACCUUGAGUGCGCGGAAGGCAGGCGGAAUUCGUGGUGUAGCGGUGAAAUGCUUAGAUAUCACGAAGAACCCCGAUUGCGAAGGCAGCCUGCCGCAGCGUUACUGACGCUGAAGCUCGAAAGCGCGGGUAUCGAACAGGAUUAGAUACCCCAGUAGUC
rnacentral:rRNA from 1 species